UUGGGUACGAGAAUGGACCAAGUCCUGUGCUUAACGGCAGGUUGCUUUCACCGGUGGGAGCUGGUGAACAUUACUAUUAAUUGCUCCUAGAUCCGUCUUCGUCGUUGGAUUCUUCACGACAAGAUCUUCGAAACUGGAUCCUGCGUGGGUAUGUUUUGGUGAAUUUUUUCUGUGUAAUUUAGCCUCCAUUUUGUGCAACUACCUUAGCAGUGGAGGAUGUGCAACUACCUGACAGUGAAUGUGCAACUUUCUACCUACCAUGUGGAAGUGUAGUUUUUACUAACGGCACAUCCACCCUCAACUACCUCCUCCCAGUGAGAUGUUCAAAUUCGUGUUUUGCCCAGGCCAACUGCCUAGUACUUCAUGUGCAACUUCCCUCCUGGCCGUGGUUUUGCUUUUAUUGUUUGCCGCAUCGGUCAACUGUCUAGCAGUGGAUGUGCAACUUCGGAUACUGUCAUCGUCAACUGUCUACCAGUGAUGUGCAACUAUCCCUCAUACCUCAUGGAUGUGUAAUUUCCCUAUUAUCACUCUGAACCACCCUUCUAGUGGGAUGUGCAACUUUAGCCUCCCGUUUAUAUGCAACUUUUACUAUCCUUAUGAAUAUGUAACUUUUCA